rnacentral:rRNA from 1 species
UACGUAGGGAGCAAGCGUUGUCCGGAAUCAUUGGGCGUAAAGCGCGCGUAGGCGGCCCUGUAAGUCCGCUGUGAAAGUCAAAGGCUCAACCUUUGAAAGCCGGUGGAUACUGCAGGGCUAGAGUCCGGAAGAGGCGAGUGGAAUUCCUGGUGUAGCGGUGGAAUGCGCAGAUAUCAGGAGGAACACCAAUAGCGAAGGCAGCUCGCUGGGACGGUACUGACGCUAAGGCGCGAAAGCCAGGGGAGCAAACGGG